AGUGAACGCUGGCGGUAGGCCUAACACAUGCAAGUCGAACGGCAGCACAGGAGAGCUUGCUCUCUGGGUGGCGAGUGGCGGACGGGUGAGGAAUACAUCGGAAUCUACUCUGUCGUGGGGGAUAACGUAGGGAAACUUACGCUAAUACCGCAUACGACCUACGGGUGAAAGCAGGGGAUCUUCGGACCUUGCGCGAUUGAAUGAGCCGAUGGGGGAUUAGCUAGGUGGCGGGGUAAAGGCCCACCCAGGCGACGAUCCGUAGCUGGUCUGAGAGGAGGAUCGGCCGCUCUGGAACUGAGACACGGUCCAGACUCCUACGGGAGGCAGCAGUGGGGAAUAUUGGACAAUGGGCGCAAGCCUGAUCCAGCCAUACCGCGUGGGUGAAGAAGGCCUUCGGGUUGUAAGUCCCUUUUGUUGGGAAAGAAAUCCAGCUGGCUAAUACCCGGUUGGGAUGACGGUACCCAAAGAAUAAGCACCGGCUAACUUCGUGCCCGCCGCCGCAGUAA
rnacentral:rRNA from 1 species